GACACCCAAGCUGUCAAGCUGCCUCCCUGAAGAGAAGCAAAGUGCUCGAAAGACAUUCACUUCUGGAAUGUUCUCCUAGAUGAAACCUGGAAAGAACGGAAACUGGAAAGUAAAUAGUGGAUGAGCGCUUUUCCUCAUAAAACCCAGCACAUCUGCAGCCUUCAUUGUAAAGGCUUGCACGUUUCCAGAUCAGAGCUGCACGAUGGGGAGAUCAGACUGCCGGGCACAGAAAGGCGAUAUCAGUCCCCUGACAUGUGUGAUGUGAAGUUCU